rnacentral:sRNA from 1 species
CUAGGGUCUCUGCAGGGAUCCAGAUGACGGGAGCCAAAUGAGUAUCCCUCACCCUGCGACCUCAGCUGCACGUUGAGGACAGAGGCUCCCCCACGCCCAUCCUGGGAAGGGGCCCGGAGUGUGAGAGAGAGGCUCCCCCAAGCCCAUCCUGGGAAGGGGCCCGGAGUAUGAGAGAGAGGCUCCCCCAAGCCCAUCCUGGGAAGGGGCCUGUGAGAGAGAGGCUCCCCCAUGCCCAUCCUGGGAAGGGGCCCGGAGUGUGAGAGAGAGACUCCCCCACGCCCAUCCUGGGAAGGGGCCCGGAGUGUGAGCUGAGUGGUAGGUGGGGGGCCAGGGAUGGGCUGUGGGCCUCGCUCUCUCCUGAAGGGUCCGCCCUUGAGUGCUGGGCCACUGAGAGGGCGGUUCACACCCUUGCCCUUGUCUGCCGAGGAUGCUCUCACAGAGUGCCGUACUUCUGUGCCAGGAGCUUGUGAUCCAGCUAUAUACCCUGUUUCUCCUUCCUUCUAGGUCCGAGCUAUACCUGUGGACAUUGGUUUCUCCAUUGAAGAGCUGGAGGACCUUUACAUGGUGUUUAAGGCCAAGCACCUGGCUAGCCAGUACUGGGGGUGCAGCCGCACAAUGGCUGGCCGUCGGGACCCCAGCCUGCCCUACCUGGAGCAGUACCGGAUUGAUGCCAGCCAGUUCCGGGAACUCUUUGCCAGCCUGACACCCUGGGCCUGCGGCUCCCACACACCUCUGCUGGCAGGGCGCAUGUUCAGGCUCCUGGGCGAAAACAAGGACUCGCUGAUCAACUUCAAGGAGUUCGUGACGGGGAUGAGCGGGAUGUACCACGGGGACCUGACAGAGAAGCUCAAGGUGCUCUACAAGCUACACCUUCCCCCAGCUCUGAGCCCAGAGGAAGCCGAGUCAGCCCUGGAGGCGGCCCAUUAUUUCACAGAGGACAGCUCCUCAGAAGAAGCACUACCACAGGAAGAGCAAGAAGGAAGUGGAAGUGAGGAGAGAGGAGAGGAGAAGGGGACCAGCUCUCCGGACUAUCGGCACUACCUUCGAAUGUGGGCCAAGGAGAAAGAGGCUCAGAAGGAGACGAUUAAGGAUCUUCCCAAGAUGAACCAGGAGCAGUUCAUUGAGCUGUGCAAGACGCUUUACAACAUGUUCAGUGAAGACCCCAUGGAGCAGGACCUGUACCACGCCAUCGCCACCGUGGCCAGCCUCCUGCUCCGCAUCGGAGAGGUGGGGAAGAAGUUCUCAGCCCACACAGGCAGGAAGCCCAGGGACUGUGCCACUGAGGAGGACGAGCCACCAGCACCCGAACUGCAUCAGGACACAGCCAGGGAGCUUCAGCCCCCAGCUGCAGGAGACCCCCAAGCCAAAGCAGGCGGAGACGCACACCUCGGAAAAGCCCCACAGGAGAGCCAGGUGGUGGUGGAGGGGGGCAGCGGCGAGGGACAGGGCUCACCCUCCCAGCUGCUGUCUGACGAUGAAACCAAAGACGACAUGUCCAUGUCCUCAUACUCGGUGGUCAGCACGGGCUCCCUGCAAUGUGAAGACCUUGCAGACGACACGGUGCUGGUGGGCGGGGAGGCCUGCAGCCCCACAGCGCGCAUCGGCGGCACCGUCGACACCGACUGGUGCAUCUCCUUUGAGCAGAUCCUGGCCUCCAUCCUGACGGAGUCCGUGCUGGUGAACUUCUUUGAGAAGAGAGUGGACAUUGGACUCAAGAUCAAGGACCAAAAGAAAGUGGAGAGACAGUUCAGCACCGCCAGUGACCAUGAGCAGCCUGGAGUUUCCGGCUGAUGCCUGCAGCUGUGAGGCCUGGCCCGAGGUGUCAUCAGUGGGGCUGGCCUCAUCUCCUCCUGCCUUUCCUCCCUUAUCAGUUUCUCUUUAAAGGUGUCCCCCUCAUGCUCUCCCAGGAGCAGUGAGUUGUGAGUGGAAAGAAGGCUGGUGCAGACCCAGCUGCCUUAGACAGAUUCCCUGGGCCUGCAUCUCCUGGCGCCGGCUGCUUCUGGGCCCAGGAAGAGGCUGUGGCUCCCACCUUCCUUACACCUGGUGGGAGCCCGCCUCGCACCAGCUGCACCUGCCUAGCAUUAGAGGCUCUCAGAUCUGCCCUUGCUUACCUCAUACCUCUGUGCCCCACACUGCGGCCAGGCCAGCCGAGUCCCUCCAUCCGUGGAUGCUUUCCUGCAGCUAUGUGGUAUGGGGGUCAUUCCUGCCUCUUGGCACCAGGUUGGGGGGCAUGUGCUUGUUGGGCACCAAAGUGAUGGAACCCUCAGGUGCUCUCCGGGAGCCUGAACCUCCUGACUGAGGAACAUGGGCAGAACAUGUUUAUUGCACAGAGUGGGCGCUGCGCACAGGCGUGGCUAUACACGUGCUCUCAGCUCAUCAUCCUUUCCAGUAACUUUAAAAACACAUCCCUCAGGUCCUGAUAUAUUUCCUUGGAUUCAUUUCACUUGGCUAGAAAUUACACUGUGCUCAAUGCCUUAAUAAAUCCCUGAAAGAAAUAAAAC